rnacentral:rRNA from 1 species
GACGAACGCUGGCGGCGUGCUUAACACAUGCAAGUCGAACGGUGAAGCGCCUUCCUUUUUGGUGGGUGUGGAUGAGUGGCGAACGGGUGAGUAACACGUGAGUAACCUGCCCCCUUCUUCUGGAUAACCGCAUGAAAGUGUGGCUAAUACGGGAUAUUCUGGGUCUGUCGCAUGAUGGUUCUGGGAAAGAUAUUGUUUCGGUGGGGGAUGGGCUCGCGGCCUAUCAGCUUGUUGGUGGGGUGAUGGCCUACCAAGGCGGUGACGGGUAGCCGGCCUGAGAGGGUGGACGGUCACACUGGGACUGAGACACGGCCCAGACUCCUACGGGAGGCAGCAGUGGGGAAUAUUGCACAAUGGGCGCAAGCCUGAUGCAGCGACGCCGCGUGAGGGAUGGAGGCCUUCGGGUUGUGAACCUCUUUCGCCAGUGAAGCAGGCCUGCCUCGUUUGUGGGUGGGUUGACGGUAGCUGGAUAAGAAGCGCCGGCUAACUACGUG